rnacentral:rRNA from 1 species
AUUGAACGCUGGCGGCAUGCUUUACACAUGCGAGUCGAACGGUAACAGGCCUUCGGGUGCUGACGAGUGGCGAACGGGUGAGUAAUGCAUCGGAACGUACCCAGAGGUGGGGGAUAACGCAGCGAAAGCUGUGCUAAUACCGCAUGUGAUCUGAGGAUGAAAGCGGGGGACCGAGCAGCAAUGUUUGGCCUCGCGCCUUUGGAGCGGCCGAUGUCGGAUUAGCUAGUUGGUGGGGUAAAGGCCUACCAAGGCGACGAUCCGUAGCUGGUCUGAGAGGACGACCAGCCACACUGGGACUGAGACACGGCCCAGACUCCUACGGGAGGCAGCAGUGGGGAAUUUUGGACAAUGGGCGCAAGCCUGAUCCAGCAAUGCCGCGUGCGGGAAGAAGGCCUUCGGAUUGUAAACCGCUUUUGGCAGGAACGAAACGGUGUCCGCUAAUACCGGGCGCUAAUGACGGUACCUGCAGAAUAAGCACCGGCUAACUACGUG